GAUGUUACCGCAUUGUCACAAAGGGGUGGGCUUUGGCAAUGGUAUAUGAUUUCGGACACACGAGAUCCAGACCAUAACCAGUCGUAUAGUCAGGUUGGAAGACGAGGAGAACUCUGCCUUUUACAAGGGGGAAGACGGGGCUGUCUGUGUGGGGAAAUAUUGCUACUACGAUAGCUGUGAAGAAACAGGAGGACCCGGUUGAUUUUAAACAGAUGGAUGGUCCCACGCGACGUCACUAUCAACCGUCGGCACGAAGCUCGAGAACCUGCAGCUGUUAUUCUGAAGGUGCUCAUUUCGUUUACAUUGCUCUGCCCAUACAGACAAGUCGGCAGUUGUGAGAGGCGCUUGACAACCCCACUAGAUCCACCCUUGUCUUCUGAGGCACUUCCUCCCACAAUAUAAGAGGAAGUAGAAUACGACGUUGCACAGGUGUGUGUAUCCAGCCUAGCUGCUACUAUUCUUCGCUGAGUGGGUCUGGGUGGGCCCGAGGGGUUGGCUGUUAUCUUUGGUUAUCUAGCUGUAUGAGUGGUGUACAUUCUUCAUAAAGCUAGAUAACCGAAAGUAACAAGAAUCCCAUUGCGCUCCCGCAAGGCCCAUUUCUUGUGCCAACAAACAAAACAAAAUGGCCGACGCCCGAGAGGAAGUGACUCAGGCGUUUGUGCCCAGCCAACCAAUCAGAAGACUUAAAGGUGACCCAUCACAUUGAAGUUAUGAUGUCAAAGCCAGUCAUCUGGUUCCGUCUCACUUUGAAGUCCACCACCUGCCGACGGCCACCCCACCUCACUAAUGGUGACGUCCAUUUCCGAACGUAAUGGUGCCCACCUGACCUAAAUGGAACCGGAUUGGCUCCUCUUCUAUUUUUCCGGCCCCAAUGUUUAAACCUGAAGCACUUUGAGGACAUUGAAGGAUCUCCUUUUAGUUUGGGUGAACUUUGGCCACAUGCCUGGACUGAACAUGGGGUAAUGUACUUUUGGGUCAUGGAUACCAAUGGAUACUCAACCACAGUUGCAUCUGUGGGCCUAACCCCCAGACUGUCUUCUGAACUUCUGGAUAUACCAAUCAAAGUAAAAGUUGAAAUGGACUACUGUGAACUGGUGUCUCUCUGUCCUCCCACAACUAACUGACUGGAUACAUGGACAGAAAUGGACAGAUCUGCGCUAAACAGCCGGAUGUGAACCAUGAUAGUUGAGAAGAACAUAGCCUAUACACAUAUUGAAGUAUACUGGACUGCCGUAUUGAACGCCGAUGAGUCCGAAUGGUAGACAUACAGACCUUGAAGUGGAGUUGUUGUUCUGGAGCCGGAGUAUGCCAUUCGACACAGAGGGCAUAGACCACUAGCCCCUUGUUUAUGGACGAGUACUGCAUGAGGGUUUUUGUGAAGAGUGUGAGAGGUGUGUGUUCUGUUCUCGGAUUGUAAGCAACACACACACACCACAAAUCAUAGUAAAGGUCUUGUAAACUGCUUAUGGUUAAUGGACAUUGGAUUUAUCAUGUGCUUAUGCUACCUGGGAAAAAAUUUAUUUGACACUGGAGGAGGCUAUAUGGUUUAGUGGUAGAAUCCCACUGCACCACUGAUUUUAUUAUCAAGGGGAGGUUACAAAUUGUCAAACAAGUAUCUGAUAUUGGACACACCACAUAGUAUUCAGAUAAUGUGUGUAUAGAUAGAACACAUACAAUUAAUAAAAAUUAAAACAUAGACAUGUGCUAAUUGAGUGAUUUAAACAAUUGUGGUAUACAAAUCAGAGUAGGACGAUGACUUAUAUUUGGUAUUAGGUUUAUAUAAUGGCUAUGAAUACUAGUUUAGUUAGAAUUUCUCUAUUAUUCUGAAAAUGUGUAAAUGUGCUAAUUUUGUGUGUAUCUUAUUUAUAUGCAUCUUUUUAAAUCUAUGCAAAUUAAUCAACAAACUAUUUUAUCAUUUGCUUAUGAGGAUCAUUCAAAUUCUCAGAGGGUUUAGAUUUUUUCCCAGAAAAUCUGUUAAAUACUGUAGGGUGAUGUGAGAGAUUAGAAAUUAAAGUGCAACAUAGAAAGGUUUCUGCACUCUGGUCCAGACUAAAAUAUGUUGGGAUUUUACACCGUUUUUCUCAACUGAUUUGAUACAUUUUUAAACAAAUGUAUCAAUAUCAAAAUAUAAACAUUGAAAUGUAUAAUUUACUUAACUGUGCUGGGACAUCUAUAAAUCUUCAGAUUGGAUCUAAUGGAUUGACUACAAAGUUGCAUAUACAUUUUUCCAUACAACUCCAAUUAUUUCUGGAUUUCAUGUGAACAUUUUUACUCUAUGCAACUUUUACUCUAUGCAACUUUUACAUUUUGUAACUUUUUGCAGCUUUUUGUAAUCAAUAAUGUGACUAUCAUUGGGAGCAACUGCAAUUCAUAUGUUGAUUUAUGUCAUUUUGAGGAUUAACUUCCACAAUGUUGAAAAUGUUUCAUAUGUUUGCAAUGGCUGUAUGAUAAAUAUGUUUGAUAGUGUGAUGUACUGUAUGGUUUAACAACAAUGUGUACUCUACAUG